rnacentral:piRNA from 1 species
CACAAAUGAUUGAAUAAACUGCAGGAU